rnacentral:lncRNA from 1 species
AGAAAACUAAAUUAAAAUGACUUUAAAGUAAUAGGGAUAAUUUAUAAAUAAAACAAACUACUAAUAUUAAAAUAAAGACCCCUGCACAACACGCGUGAAUUCACAGGGACCAAAUCUGAUAAUGUCCCCAAUCCCAAAACACUGCUUUGAGAUGCAGGCUAAAAUGCAAAAUCACUCAAAUUUUGGGAAAAAUUUAAAAGAAAACAAAACAAAUCAGACGCAAAUGGGAGCGGAUCAUAAUGCGGCGCAAAGGGAAAGGACCUGUUGCACAAAUAACCCAUUUUGAGCGCAAUAGCGCGGAUCCGGGUCCUUGAACGGGUUGACGUGCCGGUUACUUCCCCUGAAACGGCGUCAUUUCGUUGUAUGCCCAAAAUUAAAAGAAAAUUGAAUGGCAAUUAGCCAUUUGUUACAAGCCGAAUACCCAAUUAUUAAGGUUUCGACGCAGCAGCUUUCCUCUGUUAAGGCCAUUUAAUCACCAGUUCACCAGUAAAAUUGGUGAGUGAUGUAGAAGCAUCCUUUAUUUCCAUCAAAGUCGACACUCAAAGACUGUUUUCAUUGGAGAAUCCGCAUCUUUAACCCCGAUUUCGACGGAGAAGACAAGGGAUCUCAUCAAUGCAUCCACGAAGGUAAAUUUCUCGUUUCUCUUUCUUUCUUUUUAAAAAAAAUACUACAAAAACAAGGUAUAUGCAAAAAAGAGAAAAAAUAUUGAAGACGGAAGGAAAAAAAAAUUUAAAUCACCUUCUGAUUUUUGCUGAUUCUUUGUAUUGGAUUUGCGUAAUGUGUGUAAAAAAUCAAGGUACAAAUAAUGGCUUUUUAUAGCCAGAUUUACAGAAUAAAUGAAAAAUAAAAAUUAUAUUUUCCUUCUGUCAUUUAGCUGUGUAUUUUGUUAACUGCUUCUUCUCGUGUAUUCUAUUGCAGGUGUGGAGAAACGGCCGUACGGAGAAAGCCGCUCGUGAAAGCCUUGCGUGGGAAAACCCCUGUGAAAGCUUGAUUGCAGUACUAGCGUGUUCUAGAAACUUUUAGAUUUCUGGUAUUUUCAAACUAUUGGGCCUUUUGGGCCGUUUGUGAAUUGGGCUAAGGGACUUUGGGAUUUUGGGUGUAGGUUUAUUAGGUUUAAUAUUUGGGCCUUUAUUUUUGGAUUAAAUAAGUUGUAAAUAAUCUUUUUGGACCAGUGGACUUUUACUAUUUUUGGUUUUUUUUUUAUUUUUAUUCUUUUGUUUGUUUUAUUUUAGUUUUGGUUUUUUUAUGGGCCCAGACAAAUUGGGCCUAUUACAGCAUUGUGGCAACAAGAACAUUAGGAGAACUAGAGAAGAAAGAUAAGAAGAAUUGAAAAAGAGAGGUGAACAAUAGAGAGAAAAAAUAGAAAAGGAAAAUAAAAUAUUUAAAAGGGGGAAUUAAAGAAAAUAAUUGUUUAGAAAUUAUAUGUAUAUUUACUUAUAUAUAUUUUAUUUUUAAAUUUUAAAUAUUUAUUCCAAUUUUAUAAUGUUUUUAAAGUUUUAUAUAUUUGAUAAGAUAAUUUCAUGUAACAUUUUUUUAUUGACCAAACAUGCCACAUGGAGG